CACACGCACACAUGCGCUUACGUAAAAAUAAUAUAAAAUUAAAAGAUAUAUUUUUAAGCACAUGCAAUACAUUGACUUUGUAAAUACUUGUAGACAAUGAAAAUAUCCAUCAACUAAUGUUUGUGUUGAUUUUAUUAAUGAGGCUUUAUUGUGGCUCAGAAAAUGGCGUAAAUAUCAUUCCCUAUGACUUUUUUCUAUGAAUAAAACACUACUAGUCUUGAUGACUCUAUUGAUAAGGUUUGUAUUAAUCAAAUGUUAUUCAUUUCUAAUAGGUUCUUGUUUCAUUGUUAAUUAAUUAAAUAGAAUUGUGAUUUUCAAAAUAUUUAUCAUAUGCGUAGGUAGUAAAUAUUCUAGCGUUCGAAGAAAGUUCAAAAUUUAGUGAUGCAUGUCCAUUUGAAAAAAAAAAGUCUGUGUGGAAACAUUAAGUGGAGUUUAAAAGUUUGUUUUCCUUACAUAUAGCUCAACAUUUAGUUUGGAGAAUCUCUAAUCUUGGAUUCUUGGAGAAGGGAAAAGAGAGGUGGUUUUUUUUCCAUUUUAAAAAUUUCAAUGUUUUCUAAUAUCUGUACUAAUAUUUUUUUGUCCAACAUAACCUUUUUUUUUAUGUCCGAACGUCUAUUUAACCACUCAAUUACUUUGCUAUCCAUCAAUUGAUCUUUAUGUUGAUUUUAUUAACCAGGGUUUGUGGUGUCUCAGCAAAUAACAUGAAAAUUGCACUUUUGACUAUUUGCUACAAUGGAAUGGAUGCAUCUUUCCAUGUCUCUAGUGACAAGAUUUUUAUCAAUCAAAUAUCAUCAAUUUUUAAUUUAUUUUCUCACUUUUUCAUUGGGUUCAUAUAAGUAUAAUUUCUUAAUAUUUAUUGUGAAAGUAGGCAAAUGAUAUUCUAAAAUCUGCUAAAAGGUCAAAAAUCAAGAAUGACUUUUCAUCAAACUAUGGAGGUUAAACAUUUUUCUUUUCCUUAUCCUAUGAAAAAUAAAUUUAUAUAAUAUAUUAUUCAUUUUCAAAUUAUUUCAGUAAUGUGUUUUUUUAUUGCUCAUAGAUUCUCGGAGAAACCGAAAACAAGGCUUAAUUGUGGCUGGAAAAUGGCAUAAAUGUUAUGCCUAUGACUUUUUCUAUGAAGGAAACACUACUAGUCUCGAUGAAUCUAUUGAUAAGGCAAUAAAUAUUCUAGCGUUUGUAGAAAGUUCAAAAUUUUGUGACGCAUGUCCAUCCGAAAAAAAAGUCUGCGUGGAAACAUUAAACGGAG